rnacentral:misc_RNA from 1 species
UCCGGCUUGUCACCGGUCCAGCCGAACUGAAGGGAUCCAUCUCUGGAACCCGCGACCGGGAUGUCAAACGCUGGUAAGGUUCUGCGCGUUGCUUCGAAUUAAACCACAUGCCCCACCGCUUGUGCAGGCUCCCGUCAAUUUCUUUGAGUUUUAACCUUGCGGCCGUACUCCCCAGGCGGAGAACUUAAUGCGUUAGCUGCGCCACCAAAAGCCUAAGGCCCCUGACAGCUAGUUCUCAUCGUUUACGGCGUGGACUAC